GUUUAAGCCCUCUUACUAUAA
rnacentral:tRNA from 1 species